rnacentral:lncRNA from 10 species
CUGGGCUCAAGCCAUCCUCCCACCUCAGCCUCCUGAGUAGCUGGGACUGUGCAUGCCAUCACGCCCGGCUAAUCUGUAUAUUUUUUGUAGAGAUGGGUUUUUGCCAUGUUGCCCAGGCUGGUCUUGAACUCCUGGCCUCAAGUGAUCCACCCACCUCAGCUUCCCAAAGUGCUGGAAUUACAGGCAUGAACCACCAUGCUUGCCCAGAAGAGCCUUCUUUGAGAUGAGGCAGUGGGGGCUUGGUUGGUGAAGGAGAAAAACAUUUCAUAAAUUCGCAGUGUGUCACUCCCCUUCUCUUCUUUCCAGCCCCAUUCUCAUGCAGCCUACAAGGGGUGCAGGGACCCUCCCCUUCUUUUUUCUUUUGAGAUGGAGUCUCACUCUGUUGCCAAGGCUGGAGUGCAGUGGCGCGCUCUCAGCUCACUGCAGCCUCUGCCUGCCGAGUUCCAGCAAUUCUCCUGCCUCAGCCUCCAGAGUAGCUGGGGUUACAGGCACACACCACGCACCACCACCAUGCCUGGCUAAUUUUUGUGUUUCACUUGACCUCAGGUGAUCUGCCUGCCUUGGCCUCCCAAAG